GGGGACAGAGAUGAAGGCUAGAGGCUGGGGGGGGGCAUAGAGACGAAAGGUCGAGGGUCAGAGGGGGACAUAGAGAUGAGAGCUAGAGGGUCAGAGGGGGAGCAUAGAGAUGAAAGCUAGAGGGUCAGAGGGGGACAUAGAGAUGAAAGGUAGAGGGUCAGAGGGGGACAUAGAGAUGAAAGGUAGAGGGUCAGAGGGGGGACAUAUGAGAGGUAGAGGGUCAGAGGGGGACACGGAGAUGAAGGCUAGAAGGUCAGAGGGGGACAUAAAGAUGAAAGGUAGAGG
rnacentral:lncRNA from 1 species